rnacentral:lncRNA from 7 species
GAUAGAAGGUUACUGAAGAAUGCCCCAGAGCAGCAACACAGUCCGCAGCCUCCAAUUCUCACAGUGCCACUCAGAAAAACCUCAGCUCCUGCUGAAGCUGAACAGCAGAGGCUGUCGGAAGAGAUGGAGCUGAUGAUGAAACAAGAUCAGGGAUGGACUGCAACAAAAGUGGCCAGGAGCAAGACCAGCACAGAGCAAGCAUAAAAGAAGAAAAGUUCUAUGAAGAGUUAAGAGGCUACAACAUCUUCCUACAACCACCAGUCUCAGCAUCUCCUAGACAAAGCUCAGAUUCAGAUCAAACAUGAUGGUAUUGAUCCUACAAUGGCUCUCUGCUUGAAGACUCAUGAGAAUUGAUCCCUACAAGCACGCACAAUCUACUCAUUUCAGUUUUGCUUAAGUAGCUAUUUCCCCAGCUGUUUACAUGACUUCUGGCAAGUCUGUCCCACCUAGUUCUCACCAUUGGCACAGCAUAAGUUCCAACACCAGUAAGACUCACUACCAGUGCUUUAACUAGUAGAAGCAUGGUCAUCCUAAAGGCAUGGACAAGACCCUGGACAGAAAGCUGCUUUGGUUAAGUGAAACCUGUCACCAACCUGGUUCUCUUCAGGUUAAGUAAGAACUAGUAAGUGGCAAAAAAACAAACAGGAGCACACUGGCCAUCAGGAUAAUGGACUAAAUGUUGGUUGUGAUCCAAGGACCAAAAAGUACCCAAGAAUGACAUGUGUUAGUCUCUUUGUGCCUGUUAGUCAAGCUGUACCAGUUCUUUAGCCUGUUGGACAAACACCACCUGCAACAAGGUGGUGCUGAAACUGUUCAUCAUCAGCUGCACCAACUGGUCCCAUCCUCAGCCUGUCCCACACAGCACUGUAGAUGAGCCUGCAAAGACAGAACAACCAGAUGGCAAUGGGGGGUGAUGGUCACUAUGUCAAGGUGUACCUCCCUCCAUGUGGCUGUGGUACUUACCUCUGCUCUUGGGGCAGAGGGGCCAAUUGAUGUCAGUCUGUCUUGCAGUUAAUGCCCUCAAAAUGUCAGGGUGCUACAUGGCUCUCAGGACCUUGGAGGGCCCAGAUAGUUUGCAGACACUUUGAGAAGACAAGGGACACUUCUCCAAUUGUACCAAGCCACUUACCACGUCCAAAGACAAGCUCAAGUGGACAUGUAACAUCAUGUGGUAUGAUGUCCCAUGACUAAUGUGCUUACUCUAAGUCUUGUUCCACGGAACAAAACAAAUCAGAAAUACCAGUCCAUUGAGCAGCUACUUAAUAUACUGUCAGUCAACCAGUUCAGGAGAGGCAUAAGAACUCUAUUUUUUUGGAUUAUUAUUUUGGAGUCGAUUAUUUUUUUGGAACAAGAAACAGAAACAAUAAAGUCUUC